UCCGAAACCGUGACAAACCGAUGGCCCUCUACUUAUACUGUAGGUCGCAAAAACUGUAGGUCGUCCAGAACCACAAUACAGUAGAGCCAUUCCACCUACGUCUGUCAAACAAAAAAAACGGAACAACAAUAGAAAAACUGAAGAAGUAGACAAGGUUAUGCUGACCCAGGAAAUAUACCAUCUCCGAUUCUAUUGCCUUCGUUCGCGGGCAGGCCGUAGCUCUAAACCACUGACUAACCUGAUCCAGGCCAAAACGGCAGACAAUGAUCAGCAACGGUAUGGACAAGUUCAUCCCCCAAACAACACGCUCCCAUCUUGGUGGGUAGGCAGUAGAGCUAAUCCACUUUGAAACCUAAAUCCGACCGAAACAUUAGAACGCGCUAUUUAGCGGAGUGGCCUAUCCGGCCAGAUACUACAGUCUUUUAGAAACUGCUACGCAAUCCAGCUACUCGAAGUCAAUCACCCAGACAAUGCACGACCAUGUAUAUCUGUUGGGAAUUAAUGGAUGAAGGAAUAAGUCUUGUGCCACUGCAUUGAGAUGCAGCUCGCAUUGGUGUUGAUGACUUUAUAAAACUUUCUUGGUCGGGGCAAGCCGAAGAAGGGCCCCACGUUGGGCGCCAAAUUUUACAAAUUCUUUACGAAACCCUGCCAUAAAAUCGUGACAGACUUUUCGAACCAAUUGCCAUUUAAAAUUUGUCUUUACCUGUAGCAUACAACGUACAGGGUCGAGGAGCUGAUGAUAAGUAAACGGGAGUAGGAAGUACGCGCUGGCUUCGGCUUUUGUCUCUGGUCGGCGGGGUGUGGGCAUGGAGGAAAUUUUACUACCCAUUUAUAGCUCUGGCAAAUGGUCGAGAUAAGAAUUUAUAAAAAAAAUCGCGUACGAGUAGGGAAAGGAUACUAGGAAACGGGAUACAGGGGGGUCAAAGGGACAGAUCAGCAUGUACACGUGAACGAAGAAGAUCACCGGUCAGAUCUUUGUCGGCUGCGGUAUCGCCCAUUGGCGAGAACGCCCACCCUACCAUGAUCCUUCAGGGCCACCUAUUAAUCGUCAGGAUCCCUCCAACAAAGACUGCGGUGGGUCACAUCUCCGUUUUUCGAGGUUGCAUGGUUCCGAUAUAAUCUAUUUAGCCACGGUUCAUUUCCAAAACUACUUUAUUUAAACAAUCCAUAAUUCUUCAUUUAAACUCCUAUCAAACCUAACGCUAAUAGAACCUAGUCCCUAAUAUAAGCCUGCUAUUCGGUAUCGUCUUACAUUUAUAGGGUAUUACUA